rnacentral:sRNA from 1 species
CACAGCUCCAAGACUAUCUUCACGGCCAGCUGACAAUCACACACAAGACACUCCCGCAGGACGAGACAUGGAUGGAGCCGGCUCCAUGCGCUGGACCUUUUGCCUAUCGUAGAAGCCGGCCUUUCCCUUCUCGAUAAUCGCAGACGCCCUUGCCCGCAUCUUCUGCCUGCCAAUCACCGACCCCGCACGUCCCAUCAGCUUGCGUAGGCUACUGUAUUUUUUACGCUUGAUUAUAACCGGAGCAGGUGCAGAGACAGGAAUGACAGCUGGAGCUGGGAUCGGGGUUGCCACCUGACAUCUGGCCUCAUGCUUGGCCUUGACUUGAGUUUGAGCUUUUAGAAGCGCUUGCAGUCGUUCCUUUUCGAUCCUUCUCUUGUUGAUCAAGGUCCGUUCACCACAAGGUAGUAUUUCCAACAACCUAUCCACCCCAAUCUGCACCACAUCAUCCCACUCGCCCAUACUAUCCUUCCUGAGCGUCCUUGCCGCCUCUUCGAGCUCUUUCAAGUGGGGAUAACAAGCAAUCCCGAAUUGAACAUUUGCAUCGGUGCCGAGGAAGAUACAUUCCAUAGCCCAGGUGCAGUAACGGUACGCCGCAUUGACCAACGAUUCCCAGGUGUGGCAACCCGGCAUGUUGGCGAGACGGUCGUGCAUGACAGUGUGCAGCAAGCGCUGGAUGACAUGACAUCGCAUAUGGUCGGCGAACUUGGGUGUAAAAGAGGAAAAGGCGGGACCGCCGGAAGUGCUGGUACUAGCAGGGGUCGUGGGGCAAAGACCCACAAAGGUGGUAAAAUUGAUGCCAAGCGUGUAACGAGACAAGGGGUCAUGAUGAAUGCAGAUGAGGAUAUAGCCUGGGGCACAAGUCAUGCUGCCGUCGGCCAAACCGAUGUUGCGCAGGGAACGAUGGAGGGAAGGACUCGGUCGUGGCUCCGAGUUUGCAAAGGUCAAGGUAGGCGGAGUAGUCGUAGUCUCCUGAUAAUCAGAAGGGGUAGUCUGAAGAGUAGAGGGGAGUGUAACUAUGUCG